GCAAUUUUUAAACACUCUCUCAAUUACGUUGCCCAAUUCAUUUUUUCAUCAAACCUAAACAAUUAAAAUAUAAUUAAUUAUACUCAUUUUUUUCGAAUAAAAAAUUUCCAAUCAUAAACAUCAAAUGACAACAGACCUCUCGGACUUAAUUUCGUCAUCUGGCUCAGCAAACUGACCCCAAGCAGCCGGCAGUAAAUCUGUAGUCAAGAUUAAUUCGCUGAUUCCGCUGGAAACUAAAAGUGAAAAUGAAUCUCGUCAGGGAGACGAGUUAAUUAGUCAAUAAUCUUGUUUCAUCUCAUCUGCCUGGUAUACUUAAGUAUUUAUGCCAAGACCGGGACACGAUGGCCCCCUAAGUCGAUAUUUAAUUUCCGUUCCUUUUGCACACUGGGUACAACACGUUGGAGCUCCUUCAAAAAAUUUUUUUAAAAUUUUUUAGGCGUCGGUUGUGCCCCGGGUAUCUUGCAACGCUUUGA